GAGGGCAAGUUAAACUUACUGGAUUUCAAAAUGGGGAUAUAGACCUCUCAAAGUCUUUAUGGACCUACCAGGUUGGGCUCAAGGGAGAAUUCUUGAAGAUAUAUGCUGCAGAAGAAAAUGAAAAGGCAGGGUGGACUGAUUUAACUCCAGAUGCUGAUCCAUCGAUAUUAACAAUUUGAUGGCACCGCCUCCACCACCUCCAACAGACCAAGCUUCAGAUGCAAAUUUAAGAGAGUCGCCAUCUAUAUCAAUUCGGGAGUCACAAGAUGAUUCUUAGUUUAUUUACAUUAAUUUACUUAGGAAUGAACUUUAUGAAGUUUUUUUUUUAUUUUGGUAGGGGUAACCUUAAAAUGAUAACUUUAUGACUUAUUUUAGUAUUGAACAUUAUAAAGAAUUUUAGCAUUAAACAUUUUA